rnacentral:misc_RNA from 1 species
GAAAUGCGAUAAGUAGUGUGAAUUGCAGAAUUCAGUGAAUCAUCGAAUCUUUGAACGCACAUUGCGCCCCUUGGUAUUCCAUGGGGCAUGCCUGUUCGAGCGUCAUUUGUACCCUCAAGCUCUGCUUGGUGUUGGGUGUUUGUCCCCGUCUCGGCGCGUGGACUCGCCCCAAAGUGAUUGGCAGCCGGCGUACUGGUCCCGGAGCGCAGCACAUGUCGCGCAAACGAGUGCCUUGGUACGGCGGCGUCCAUAAGCCCCUCUCUCACGCUCUUGACCUCGGAUCAGGUAGGGAUACCCGGUGAACUUAAGC